rnacentral:rRNA from 1 species
UACGUAGGGGGCAAGCGCUGUCCGGAUUUAUUGGGCGUAAAGAGCGUGUAGGCGGCCAGGUAGGUCUGGUGUGAAAACUCGAGGCUUAACCUCGAGAUGUCAUCGGAAACCAUUUGGCUAGAGUCCGGAAGAGGAGAGUGGAAUUCCUGGUGUAGCGGUGAAAUGCGCAGAUAUCAGGAAGAACACCAAUGGCGAAAGCAGCUCUCUGGGACGGUACUGACGCUGAGACGCGAAAGCGUGGGGAGCGAACAGG